GCCAAUUGAGUCUUUUCAAAUAGAAUGUACAGAAACUGAAGUCUCAUAAUAUAUAAAAUUAUAAGAAAAUAAUGGGUGGUUCGAUAUUUUAUUAUAGACAAUAUUAUGUUAUAUAUGCGACUCCACGCACAAUGUUUUAGCAAGUGUUCUCUAACGAAAAUUGUCAACAAAAUUAUUACAUGCUGUUAAUAUUAGUUGUACUAUAUUUUCUCACCUAGAUUAGCUGCAGAAUGUAACUUUCUAAAGUUCACAUGUGCGAAAGGCAAAUUAAAUCCAGAAUGAAAGGAUUUGGAUUAAUCCAACAUGUUUAGAAAAGUCGUUGUUGGUAUUUCUGGUGGUGUUGAUAGCGCAGUUGCAACUCUUAUAUUAAAAAACAAAGGAUUUAAUGUAU